UACGAAGGGGGCUAGCGUUGCUCGGAAUCACUGGGCGUAAAGGGUGCGUAGGCGGGUUUUUAAGUCAGGGGUGAAAUCCUGGAGCUCAACUCCAGAACUGCCUUUGAUACUGAAGAUCUUGAGUCCGGGGGAGGUGAGUGGAACUGCGAGUGUAGAGGUGAAAUUCGUAGAUAUUCGCAAGAACACCAGUGGCGAAGGCGGCUCACUGGCCCGGUACUGACGCUGAGGCACGAAAGCGUGGGGAGCAAACAGG
rnacentral:rRNA from 1 species